rnacentral:misc_RNA from 1 species
AAAAGCUUUCUCAUGAGACUGCAUAAUAAAAAUUAAAACAAUCGACGUAGAGCAAAUAUGACACGAGUCUAAUUUUUAAAUCCAUCAUAUAGUGCCAAACAAUCUUCAUCAAUGCAAAAUUCCCAAAUCAUUAAAUUGCGAAACAGAUGCAGAUACAGAUACAAUAAAUUGUCCAUAAUAAAUUCAGAUAAUAACUUCACUUCAGAGCAGCAGAUGACUGAAAAACCUCCAUUGUCAUUAGCUCCAUAACCAUGACAUAAUUUUUUCUCCUUCAUCCCAUAGUUCCCUUAUUAUUGCACUAUCAUCUAUGGCUCCUGUACCGUCCCAGUCAAAGCUUAAAUUGUGCCAGUCCUCAUCAAAUGGGGGUGGUGAUCCACAAUUAUGCAAUUCCCCACUUUCUGCAUUUGAGCUCCAAGCUGUAGUACUGCUGCUUUCAAUCUCCUGAUCAUUUGCAGCAGCCACUUGGUCUGGACCCACUACUUCAUUUCCUGUCCCUUCACUGAUACCAACACGAACCCUGUUGUUUUCUAUCUCUUUAUUAAGUGUAUCAUCAAUAGUAUCACAAUUAUUCCCACUUGGAUCCACCGCUUCACUUUGCAGAACAUAUUUAAGGCGAUUUAUUUCACUGUCUAGCCAUUCAUAUGGUCCCCAGCCCUCAGUUUCUCCUUCCUUCCUAAGGCAUACUGGUCCUGCUGCAUUUAAUCUUUCACCGCUACCUAUGCAUGAAGAAGAACCCUCCACAACGUCUCUUGUAGCAGUGUCUAGUUCGCUUGUGGAGCUCUCUGGGACCAAACCCAUUAAUUGGUUACCCUGGUCAAAUUGUCCUGUAGAGUUAUUAUUAGGAGAGGGUGGUUCAGGACCUUCAGGCACUACUACUUCAGUUAGGGUUUCACUCUUAGGCUUGGCAGCAGACAUUGAUGUAUUUCCCAUGUGUUUUUUAAAGGUUGAUCGAUCCAUUCUACCGCCUCUCGAUUCGCGUGGCCUAGCCGUAUUGGCAAUAUUUAGGGAGGUGAUGGUGGUGCCAGUGGUGGAUAAAUAAUCAUUCUUGGAGAAGCUGUAAAUUUUUCUUCUCAAAUGAGAGUUCCAGUAAUUCUUUAUCUCGUUAUCAGUUCUUCCUGGCAAAUGGGCAGCGAUCAAAGACCAUCUAUUACCCAAAGCUGAGUGCAACUUGACAAUGGUUUCUUUCUCUUCUUUGGUGAUGUUCCCUCUCUUCAAGUCAGCUCUUAAGUAAUUAAUCCAUCUCAGUCUGCAGCUCUUACCACACCUUAGCAAUCCUGCAUUCUUGGGUAGUGAUCUCCAUAACCCUUCUCCAUUGGCUAGAAUGUAUUUAGUCAAGAUUUCAUCUUCUUCAGCUGUCCAUCUCCCUUUCUUUAUUCCCACUUUCUCACAACAAGGUGCUCUUCCCAUUUCUAGUAUUUGCUUUCUGUAACAGGAUCAGGGCUCGGCUCACUCUUUAAUAAGAGCACAUUAGUUUUGACUUUUGACAGACAGAGAUUGAGAGGAGGAGGAAGAGGAGUUGUUUUUCUUAUUCCUUUUUUUUUUUAAAUAUUUUUAAUCCUUUUGCAAA